rnacentral:lncRNA from 1 species
ACGGAUGUUUAGUAAAUAUCCGUCACCUCAAUGACCGUCCGAUCUACACGACGCGGGGCAUCGAUCGGGCACCUAAUAAUUUCUGAAACGACGGUCGAGUUGCAGAAACAAUCACUUUGUUGCAAAAAAGCUUCGGACCCAUUAUUUUUCUGAAACAAAGGUCGAGUUGCAGAAACAAUCGCUUUGUUGCAGAUUUUUUUCUUCGCCUUGUAAUUUUAUUUUGCAACAAAGGUCAUGUUGCAGAAAACUUUUGCAGCAUAGGUGAGGUUGCAGAUUUUUUUUUGUCUUCGCCAUUAUGCAACAUAGGUAUUGUUGUGUCGUGUUCCUGCAGCAAGACAUUCGUUGCAAAAAAAAUGCAACUGACAACAUGGUGCGAAAACUUGUCGUUGCACACCCGGUCGGAAC